rnacentral:rRNA from 1 species
AUUGAACGCUGGCGGCAGGCCUAACACAUGCAAGUCGAGCGAGCGGCGGACGGGUGAGUAAUGUAUGGGGAUCUGCCCGAUAGAGGGGGAUAACUACUGGAAACGGUAGCUAAUACCGCAUACCAUCGGAUGUACCCAUAUGGGAUUAGCUAGUAGGUUGGGUAAUGGCUCACCUAGGCGACGAUCCCUAGCUGGUCUGAGAGGAUGAUCAGCCACACUGGGACUGAGACACGGCCCAGACUCCUACGGGAGGCAGCAGUGGGGAAUAUUGCACAAUGGGCGCAAGCCUGAUGCAGCCAUGCCGCGUGUGUGAAGAAGGCCUUCGGGUUGUAAAGCACUUUCAGCAGGGAGGCGUUACCGGCAGAAGAAGCACCGGCUAACUCCGUGCCAGCAGCCGCGGUAAUUC